CAAGUGUUCUAACUCGCGCGGGUGGUGGGCAGGGAGAGCCCCAGAGCCAAAUCCCUCUGCUUCCGGCUCCAACCUGCCGAGCUAGGGCUGGGACCUCAAACCGGGUCUUUGCACAAGAGAAAGAGGACGACAGGCAGGAGAGGGAAGAGAUGAGGGGCACCGAAGUCAGAGGUGGAAAGAAACCAGACCCAAAAGGGUGGAAGAGGAACAGAUCUAUGGACCCCUGCCCACCAGCGCAACCCAGAGACAGAGUAGGAAAAAGAUCCGUGAGAGCUGCGGAAACAAUGAAAAGUGUCUGUCUUGGGAGAGCCAGAACCCCGGUCUCCCAGCUAGAAAAGGAACCGUUAAGGAAACACACUAUGCCAGGGCAACCCGUGAUGCAGUUUCUCCUAAGGGUUGACAUCCAUAUGAAGGUCUAAUUCCAACACCUCUACUUGUGCCAAUAAUCAAAAUAACAGAUACUUUCACUACUCUUUCUGGAAGACUAUGUGAUGAAUUACCAUGCAAAUGCCUUUAAGAAAGCUGACAAGGAAGAUGAGUCAUUUCCAUGUCUCUAAAGUAUCCUCACCUCAUGACUUCAAGGUGCUUUCCAGUCAAUGUCCAAGAUUGUAACAGUUCUAACUACUCAAGGUGGCCCAAUUACCAUAUCAUCAGUUUCCCUUUCUACAUUCACUCAGAUAAAAUAGGAUUAUACUGCUCUAUACACUCAUACUCCUUUGAAGAAUGUAGAGAUUUCCUUAAGAGCUGUCACUUGCCUGAAAUGCCUCUCCUGAUUUCGUUGAUGCUGCUCAAAUUCACCCUCAUAUUUCCAAGCUUCUCUGAAACUGGAAUAUUCAAGGUCAAUACUUUCACACAGAGAGAGAGAGAGAGGCCGAGACACAGGCAGAGGGAGAAGCAGGCUCCAUGCACUGGGAGCCCGACGUGGGAUUCGAUCCCGGGUCUCCAGGAUCGCGCCCUGGGUCAAAGGCAGGCGCCAAACUGCUGCGCCAUCCAGGGAUCCCUGCCUCUAGUCUUUAAAGUCUCAAGUCCACUCUGCACUAUCCAGUCCUAUUCUUAAGACUAAAAGCCCCAUGAAGGCAGAGAUUAAUGUUUACUUCUUUUUCUUCUUACUGUUGCAUUUAGUGCCUAGGAUAAUGGUAGCAUUUUGUUAAAUGAAUGAAUGCUGACAGAAAGCUCAACAACUUCUAAAAUUUUAUCAGGGACCAGGAUAAAA